UCUGAAUUAUGCUAACUCUUGAAAAUCCCUUCCACAGCUCUCGCUUGCUGCAUUUUUACCUCUUUACUGUACUUUAGUGUGUAUCUUUAAAGACUCCAGAAAUUUGGCAUCUAAAUGCUUAAGCUUCAAACAAGGAUCACAGGCCUAGAGACUACAAAGCACUAAUUUGUAUUAUUCAGUUUUGUGUUGCAACAUCACCUAUCUGUCAAGGAUUCAACUUUUAUUUUGUUUUGUUGUGUUACUAAGAUUACUAGAGGGAAGAGAAAGGGGAAGAAAAAGGAAGUGGUUUUCUGAAGAACAGAGAAGUGGUUUUCUGAAGAACUGAGCUUACAUUUCGGAACCUCAGGGACAUGGUCUGAUUUUUGAGACACUGCAAGCACCAGUUGAGCUCAGAGACUUCAUUUCUGCAACAGCAGAGAGCAAAUAUAUCUUCAUCCUGCAUUUGCAGGAGCUGAAGUAACACCAAAGGACCAGGUUGCAUUCUUGAACCCCGUUCUCUGGCUCUUGACAGCUUCUGGCACACAGAGAGGAGAAGAGGAAGAGGUAGCAAUUCAGAGAAUGAAGACUGUGAUUUUGCUUUUUUUUAACCUGCGAACCUUUCAUCUGCCAAUAAAUGUACCCUCAGCAUGCCAGAUCACAGGGAAUGGCAACUAUGAGCCUUGAGAAGAUGAGACAAUAUGGAAUACAGAAUACAACAUGCCUCCACAGUAUGAAUACACAUUGUCUGUCCAUCCUCCACCUUUGCUGUCCCAGCAGACACCACUUCAACCCCAGCAACCUAGGUUACAAGCACAAACCCCACUGCUGCAGCCCACAGUGCAGGCUUCCAAGAAAGUCCCAGUCCGGCACAAUGAAACAUAGCCACUAGUCCUACAGUGGCUGCAGGCAUUUCACCAAGGAAAAUUAUCAGGGGUCCAGCAACAGGUGCCAGCUGCCAGAAGUCAAGAGCAGGUAGUUUUCAUGGUGUCCCUGAAAGACUUGACAUAGGGAGCUCUGAAGAAACUCAGGUGAGUCUUACCUGGGUCUAUUCCAUUAGAAGAAACAUCUGUCUCUAGGACAUCAUAGGGCAAGACAGCCUGGACUUUUUGAAUGUAAAUUUCAGUUAAAUUGUUCUGUGUAUUCAGUCUUCUUUCAAUCACAACUAAGGGCCUCAUGAUCUUUGCAACACAUAUUUGUGUAGAGGUUACUGUAACCUUAAUGUAUAUUAAGUUACAUCAUAAAUGUUCUCAUUGUAAGACUUCCUUACACUAUGGAAGCCAGAGGCAGAGGACAAAUGCAAACAAGAAUUAAGCAGGUGUGAUAUUUCAAAAAUUUCAUAUUUUUCAAGUGGAUACUUACUGUCUUGGAAAAGGACCAGAAAUAAUUAAUAAUCAUGACUUUAAAAGCCACACUCGGUAAUUUUCUCCCUCAAGCCUAAAGUCCACGGUUGAGGGCCAUUUCCCAUUUCAAGAACCAGCUGUUCACUGAUGACAGGAGGUGGCAGGCACUGGUGGUACAUCUAGCGUGGCCACAAGAUAAAGACUCUCUGGCUGGUCUGUGUAGCACCUGUUUCUGAAAGUUUGUCACUCCAGUACCAGCUUCCAUAUCACAAAUGGCUGUGGAGGACAGCUGGUCUUCUGCAUAGGCUUGCCAAUAACAGCUGUCUGCACACAUUGUUGAGAAGCUGAGGAAAUAACACAGUCCUACCAACUUGCUUUUUCUUCAGGGAGGCAGAAUGGGUGCACCAGCCUCUGGUGCCCUGCUUUCUAUUUUUAUUGUCAUGUAUAGUGGAUUAGGAAGGGGGCCCCAAAACUCAGCCCUCCAGGGAGAUGUCAAAACUGAAGAUUACUCACCAGCCUCAGGAGAAAAUCUUCUGUUGCCCAAAGAUGUCAAUCAGAUGCAGGGAGGUUCUUCACCUCCUAGAGCUUUCCCACCAGACUGAGGGAAUGAUGUGCAUCUUUCAGAUAAGAUGUUGGUGGACCACAGUGAACCUGUGACACAUGCUGAAAGCAACUUGUCAAGAGACCCUAUGCAUCCAUAGGUUGGAGCAGAGGGAUUCUUGAGGAAAUGUGCACCACUGCCAGGACAGAAGGAGCUCAGUUUUCCUCUGGCAGCCUUGUACCACUCAUUUUUAUAGCCAAAUUCCUCUAGAGGUCCAGAAAGACAUGAAUAUGUAUCCUACCUUGUACUCUGAUGCUCUGCAUACAUCCCAAUCAGGAAAUGAACCCCAUCAGUUACUGAUCACAUGUGUAAAGCUCUCCAAGAACCGUGAAGUGCUCUGCUACUGUACCAUACAUGUAUUUUCUCUUCAUGAUGCAUUGGCAAAGGAGAUCUAGCAAUCUGUUUUUCUGGGGCUUGCAAUAAAGCAGUAAUUAUACUAACCAAUGUAUACAACAAUGGUAACUCUAGCAUGAAAUUUUUUCUUUUUCUAUUAUUUGGGAGAGUGGAAAAAAAGAUGAUUAACAGUGAAUUUUGUUAAUGCAGUGAAUUACUGUAAAUUUCCUCUUCAUGUUGCUGUAUGUACUCAACUUCUUCUGUUAAAUAUCUCCUUGAUAGCAAGCAGAAAUGCAUCUUAAGUGACAAAUGUUUUUGUGACAUCUUUUUGUACUGGGAGACUUUUUCUCUCCAUUGGUGAUGUUGGGUAUUAUCUGAGAACAAGGUAGUGCUUAAAUAAUAAAGAUUUAUUCCACCAUGCA